CACUCCAUCCCACAUCUGGCCGGUGACAGAUUGAAGAGAAAAAGCCAAAAGAUGAGCGAAAAACAGAGCAUUGAGGAGGAGAAGAAGAAGAAACAAAAAGGAUAAUGAAAAAUAACGGAAAAAUGAUAUGAGCUGAGAGAAAGAGUUGGAGUUGGACUGAUAGCAUGUGAGAAUCUGAAAUUUUAUUAUAAUUUAGGGCGGAGAAAGGAUUUAGCGUAAGCCCUACAUAAUGGGGUCUGAGUCUUCGUUCUUUUAUGUUAACGGCUACAUUUUUUCUUCAGUUAUUCGGGCUACGUGACAUUUAUUUUUUCCCUUUGCUUC